rnacentral:lncRNA from 1 species
AAACGCCCCCCCCCCCCCCCAGGACAACUGAACAGAGUGAAUACGCACGCUGAGAGGAGGAGUGUAGCCAGGGCCACACUAACCUUCACACUAUCCAGCUCCCGGGGCACAGACACAGACGCAGACGCGGGCAGCCGACUCGACGCAUUUAAUCCUCUCGGACCCGCGCCAUCGUCAUCGGCGGGGAGGAAAUGCUGAGCAUAUGGAACAAUCUGUGCUCAAACAUUAUUUAUUAGACACGGCACGGAUGCAGCGCGCGUGUGACCGUGUGCGACAGCUUGGGUGGGAGCUGGUGUUUGCCGACACAAUAUGUUGCCUCAUCUUGGUGACUCAGCGCGCGUUUGACCGCUCCGUCCCAGGGCAAACCACGCAGACGCAGGCCGCCCUCCGUGCGACUCUCUCGGAAACCCGGGCCACGCGAGCCUCUUUCAGGUGGCCUCCGCUCGCCUGUAGAAUGACCGAUUUUUCCCCUGGGCGGGCGCCAGGUAUAGCAGAAUGUAAUUAUCAUUUAUUUUUCCGCCGAAUGAAUGAAGCAGCAGGACAGCAUCGCGAGCCAGAGGAGAACGUGGAGAAGUGCCACAGUUCGCAGCAAGACAUCGACAGUCCUGGCUCACGUCUUCCUUCACAUGAUCCAGAGCGAAAACCCAAGCGGAUGCAUUGUUCCGCUGAGCGCUUCGGAGUGCAACGAAGGCAUCCCUUUUAUCGCGGUUUGGGGCGUAAACGCAGGCUGGAACGUGACGAGCGGACGGAAAGUGGGAAGUCCUUCCCUCACCUAGAGCAGCAGGCUGGUGAAGACAGAAAGACAGUCGCUUUGCCACCACAAGACAAAGUACAGUACCCAAAGCUGGCCUUUCACCUACGGUGGAUGCUGGGGUGCCGAUGAAUGACGUGGAUGAAAAUUAAGUUUGCUUGUUUGGGAGGCCUCACCCUCUGGAAUUCAUCUGUUUCGUUGAGUUUUGUGAGGAAAAAAAAAAAAGAAAAAGUUGUUACAUUUCAUGUCGAACGGGUUGCUGAACAUUUCCUGUUUUACCAUAGUAAAACAUUCUACGACCUACUCAUUACUGAAGAAAAAAAAAAAAAAAAAAAAAAAAAAAAAAAAACUCUCGGUAAUCAUAAUGCUGACAUUUACUUAUUUGCACCAAAAAUGUUUAUUUUACGGCGCUCCUCUACUUUUAAUACCUACAAGCAGAUUUAUUUUUACUCAGACACAUGCAUGUGCAAAAAUACAAAUAUGCAACAUACUGGAGAAUUUCUCUAUACAAAACAUUUGCAGUGGGGCAGAGUGCUAAUAGAGACAUUCAGUUCAGAGCUGGUUAACCAAGAGGAACAGGAACAAUUAUUGCUAUAGGUAGUGGUCGGAUACCAAACUGGAUUUUCCCAACUCAAAAAAGGCCUCACUAGGUGGAAAAACUAACUGUGAAGUGUGGACUGUGGAUUUCCUGAGUACACUAAUAUUACGCAUGACAAUAAGUCCUGAGAACAUGUGACGAUUUAACAAAAAAAUAAAUAAAUAAAAA